rnacentral:tRNA from 1 species
AGGGGUAUAGCUCAGUUGGCAGAGCAACGCCCUUUUAAGGCGUGAGUCCAGGGUUCGAGUCCCUGUGCCCCUA